GCGCGGAGCCCCAUAGGUAUAGAAAUGGUCUAUAACUAGGCGACUCAGUUAUUGUGGUCAAUGAAGUUAUUGUCACAAGCUGCCAUACAGCCAGCCGCGAUCUGCCUCGGCACACAGGCCUCCAGAGCGCGCAAAACAAUAUGGCGGAUGAGUAUUUCUGGCCCUCUCAAAAACACACGAAAACUGACUACAGAAAAGCCAAGAAUUGUCGAAAAAGAAGUGCUUGAAAAAAAUCUUUCGUGGGAAUGCUAACCACGGAUAUGAACUUGUCUAAUUAUGUGCAAAAGACUGUUUAAAAGCAUGGUUGAAAGUUUUGAAGAGUCAAGUCUUGUGCUCGAGUCAAGGUCAGCUGAAAUGUCAGAGUAAGCCACAAGAUAAAGAAAGAAAAAAACAAGCUAAUUUUAUAGAGACCUUCUCCAACAAGUGCUCCUAUGUAUUUGUUCUUGCACUGGCAGACGUAGGUUAAUCUCAGCCAGAGAUUCUGAAAUCAAGCUGAGACACAAGCUGCUGGCUAAGAGGCAUGACCCAGGGGAUGUACAUAUAAGGCAUUGGUAGUUAAUGUAGGUCACCAAAAAUAAACACAUAUAAAGUAACAAAAAGUAAGAUAAUAUUUUAAUGGAAAAAAAAAUCUGCUCCGCUGGGAUCACCACCUUACCGUGGUGGAGUGGUUUGUAUGUCCCAAUGACCUCUAGAGCUGCCGAACAGGUCGAAAGGUAGGGGCCAGACUAUAACCAUCCAGGGUAAAGUGCUUGAGUCCGUGGAGGAAUUUACCUACUUAGGCAGCCUCAUUAGCAAGGAUAAUGGAGCCAAAAAAGACAUUCUAUCAAGGCUAGGUAAGGCACGUGGAACCUUUGCACGACUUAACCCCAUCUGGAAGUCCAAGCAGUAUAGCUUAAAGACCAAGCUACGAUUGUACAACAGCAACGUGAAAUCAGUUCUUUUUUAUGGAUCUGAGUGCUGGCGCGUUGUAAAGGCAGACAUGGACAAGAUCAGUGCCUUCCAUAAUGGGUGUCUGCGGAAGAUAUGACGUAUCUUUUGGCCUCAGAAAAUAUUCAACGAAGAUCUUUACUGUAAAACGGGAUCAUAUAACAUCACCCAAGAGAUAAAACGCCGCCGGCUAAAGUGGCUGGGUCAUGUCCUCAGGAUGGGGCAGGAGCGUAUCCCAAGGACAUCAGCCUUAUGGACUCCUAUCGGGAAACGUAAGCCUGGACGGCCUAAAACAACUUGGUGAAGAAAAAUCCAGGCUGAGCUGCUAGAGAUGGGAUUGACUUGGGGCGAGGCACUAAAAGUUGUAAAGGACCGCCAAGAGUGGCGUCACCGUGUCGCGGCCCUAUUUCCCACUAGGGAAGAUGGGGAUAAGUAAGAAGUUAAUGGAAAAAUUGUUCUAAAAAAAUGAACCAGAGUUAUAAAAGUAAAAAAACCAAGUUUUUUUCUAAGUUAGCCUGACAGGUUCUUGUAUAAUGUGUGGUUAGUGACAUUUAGGCUAUUUAUGUUCAUAAAUAGUCUCUUGCUAUUACAAUGACUCAUUGAGGUAGUAAGUUAAUCAUAAAAAACAAAAAAAGGUCUCCCAAAUGAUCCCUUAAGAUCAUAUUUAAAACUAUUUAGAAAUCAAUUUUCCUAUUUCAACCUAUUUCAAAUUAUAGGAUAAAUAGAUGCUUAUAAAAAGGAUUCUAAUUUGAUAAUUUUAGGUUAACAGGUUCAUUCUAGGUUCUUAUAUGUGGUUCUUUACUGUAUAAUAAAAUAAUGUACUCAUAAUUUUUUCAAAUAUGUUGGAGUGCUUUUAAUCCACCCAUAGCAAAGUUACAUUUUAAAGCACAAGAGAGAGGUUAAUAAAGAUAUUUUUCCAAUAUUUGAAUUGCUAAUUUUAAAACUUACACAAGAGAAAGAAAAUGAUAAAGCCCUAUCUUUGCAAGUUAAGUAAAGUAAUUUAAAGAAGUAAAAGGAAUUGGGAGUACAGGCAGGGAAUGACUACUUUUACCUCAAAUUCACUUUUGAUAGUGUGAUUUGCUGAUAUACUUAUUAAUGUAUAGAAAUUUGAUAUGUAUUUGUUUAUUGUUUUUAAUUUUGAAGAGAAUAAAAUAGCACCCAGUUUUUUAUGAGGAACUUUAAUUGAUCCUCAUUUUAAAAUAAAUAUGACCUCCCUUCACAC